ACAGCCUGUUCUUCUGAGCUGAGCAGUUUGCAGGAAUGAGAAUGAAGCCUUUGUGUGGGAAGAGGGUGCGACUCGUGUUCUUGUACACAGGCUGUGUACCAUUACCUGCGCUACUCUGAACCUGCGAGAGACAGAAUAGGCAGAAGGAAGCAGGAAGGGAAAUGGACAAGACAGGAGCCUAGGGAAGGAGGCAGGGACUUGCAGCCAACAGGCCCAGGGAAGCCAUGAGGCAUGGCAAUGUUUAACUAAAUAAAGAAUAGAAGGCAUGGAAGAGAUGAGAAUGGGCCUGCUGAAGGCACAAGCGUUGGCAGGGCUGCAAUGGCCCAGUCCCUUUGCUUGCUGUGACACACCAAGGUGUGGGCACUGAAAUCUUGGCAUGCUUCCUCCUGCUGGUGCUCCCUCUCUUGACUUUUCUCGCUUCCUUUUCUCAGAUGAUGCUGUAGAAAAAGUUAUUUCUCUCCAUUCUCUCCCUCCCCACAUUCUACUGGAGUCAGCUGCCUAGAGUAGUCUGAUAGUAAGAAAUAAAUACUAAAGAAAAAGUAAAUCUUGUUCACCAGUUUACACAAAGCAAAGGUCUUGAUGAUGAACAAUAUGAAAACAAUGUGCUUUGGCAGGGAAAAUAUUUAUUAUUCAUUAAAUUUGUAUACCGCCAUACACCCGUAGGUCUCAGAGCAGUUCACAACACAAAAAAAGGUAAAGGUAAAGGACCCCUGACAGUUAAGUCCAGUCAUGAAUGACUCUGGGGUUACAGCGCUCAUCUCACUUUACUGGGUGAGGGAGCCGAUAUUUGUCCACAGACAGUUUUCCCGGGUUAUGUGGCCAGCAUGACUAAGCCGCUUCUGGCAAAACCAGAGCAGCGCACGGAAACGCUGUUUACCUUCCUACCUGUUUAUCUACUUGCACUUUGACGUGCUUUCACACUGCUAGGUUGGCAGGAGCAGGGACCGAACAACGGGAACUUACCCGUCGCGGGGAUUUGAACCGCCGACCUUCUGAUCAGCAAGCCCAAGAGGCUCAGUGGUUUAGACCACAGCGCCACCCGUGUCCCUCACAGCGCCACCCAUGUACACACACACACACACACACAAAAUAAUAAUAAUAUAUAUUUUUUAAAAAUCAAGAAUCCCCCCCUCCUUAGCCAUUUGGAUGCUCCAGAGGUCAGCGAGGGUUUUGACAGAAGUGCCAGUCCUAUCAGCUGGGAAAUCCCCCAGAGCCAUUUGGAAAACCAUUGUAUCCAUCAGCCUCCAAGGGCAGACCAUCCUCACAGGUCCCCCACCUCUGCGGAGGGGGAAAGGUGUUGAAAGCCUAAAUCUCAACAGGAAGUGAUCUGAGCAUGACAAGAGGGUGAGAUCAACAUCCCCCACUUUCAGAUACCCUUUUCCUGCCAGUUGAGAAAACAAGGUCCAGAGUGUGGCUUGCCACAUUUGUUGGCAUGAUAAAAUAUUACCAUCAUGUUUGCCUGCUACCCUUCCUCAGGUGUGUUAUGUGGCCUUAUCUCAUAACAACCUUGCAAGGCUGAGAGACAAGAACCAAAAUUAAUCAGUGAACUUCAUGCCUGAGCAACUAUUUGAACCGAGGUCUCCUGAGUCCAAGUCUAAUACUCUAUCUGCUAUCCGCCACCCUAGCUCUGAAGAUUUAAUCAACAUUCAUUGUAAGCAAAUUUGUUUCCAUGAAUGUUACAAAUUUCUAUUAUGAGAGCAAUUAAAUGCUGUUAUGAAUUACUGGAUUAUGUUUAUAAAUAUGGGAUGGCUUCUUGUACGUGUUUUAGUAUGAUAAAGUGCUUUAAAAUAAUCUCGUUAGUUAUGAAGAAUGUGGCUUUCUGUCAUUCAGCUCCAAAUUAACAAAGAAAAAAUAGCUUUCACAGCAGGAAAAUCAAGCCAGAAAGAUUUUGUUGUUUUGUUUGGACCACACAUUCCAUGUUGGCUCAUUAAUUUAAUUGAUUAAUCUCAAGGACAAUAAGAGACUAAACAUUCUAUUUUAUUCAUAUUAGUAUUUGUUGUAUUAAAUAGAGUAUGUUGGUACACCCUCUAUCUAUCUAUCAUCUAUCUAUCUAUCGAUCUAUAUCAUCACGGAAUCAUAGAGUUGGAAGGGGCCCAAGAAUCACCUAGUCCAACCCGCUGCAAUGCAGCAAUCUCAAGGCACGGUCCCCAUCCCGCUUGAAACCGCAGCAAACCCUCCUUAGCUUUGCAAAUGUGCUAGCAGUUUUAUCGCUGGAAAAAGUGCUGGGAGCCACUCCACGCGUGCCACCCCCACUCGUCCAUCUCCCUCACAGCUGGCACAGCCACUCACCACAGCAGCCCGAGGGCGCCCCUCAGAUGCCUGCCCACUUGCCCAGCCAGCACCUGCCCGGCCGCCACGCCUCUCACUCUCCGCUGGCGCUUUCCCUGCGAAAUUUGCCAGGUCAUUCCCAUUUGCCCCUUGGGGCCAGAGGUGGCUUGUUAUGGUUUCAUUUCACAGUAAAGGGCUGAGGAGGGAACUCGCUGUGCUGCUGCUGCUGCUGCUGCUGCCUGGUGCCUUCCUCCUCCUGCGCCCGAGUGGGAGCACUGGAAAGCCCUGUUGCUGCUCCGCUUUGCUACCUGCCCCUGCCUCUUUCCUCCUCUCAGUCCCUAACUAUGAUAGAAAUGGUACAAAACAACAACAACAACAACAACAACAACAAAACCUGGACAUCUUGCCAAAUUGUAAAAAUCCGCCUAGACAGAAAUUCAAACCCUAAGAAAGAGAACAUGUCUGGGGAAAACCAGACAUAUGCCAACCCUACUUACAUAUAAAAACAAGAACAACUCAAAACAUAGGAAAAAAUCAUUUAAAAAACCCAUGAAACAAUGAUAUAAUUAAGAUUACACACACACAUCUAUUUGUUGUUGUUGUUUAGUUGUUUAGUCGUGUCCGCCUCUUCGUGACCCCAUGGACUAGAGCACGCCAGGCACUCCUGUCUUCCACUGCCGCAGUUUGGUCAGACUCAUGUUUGUAGCUUUGAGAACACUAUCCAACCAUCUCGUCCUCUGUCGUCCCCUUCUCCUUGCGAACAUCAUCGGCGCGGCUCCCUCGCUGCCUCCUCCGCCGCGGGGUUGGAGGGGCCCGGCCAAGAAUUACGAGGGAGGAGGAAGCGGCUCACUCUGGAUCCACCAAGCGAGUCUGGGGGAAACCCACCAUCCUGAGGAUCUCGGGGGGAACGGACCUUGAGAGAGACCUGCAGACACAGAGUCCUCUGCGAAGCGGGUCUUCGUGAGCUGCCAGCGUCUUGGAGGAGGAAUGGAAGGACCCGCCUGCAAUAGGCCCACCACAUGGAGAAACAAAGAGUGCUUUCUUUGGCAUUUGUCAGAAAAAGGGGGGAAUUUCCCUAGGCCAUAGAAGUUUUAUAUUGAUUUACGAUGAACACUUCAGGUUUUGUGGAAGCGACUAUCAUUUGUUAUUAUUUUUAUCCUAAGCUCAGCCAAAUAUAAUAUACUUCAGUUGAAGAAUGACAAUGGGAGAGUGUGGUCGAUCACUGCCAGUUUUUGACACUGGAUAGUAGAUGACACCUGACUUGAAGUUGGACAUACCUGUAUCUAUUGGGAACCUUCCUUGUGAGAAAAGGCAAUAUGCUUAUGUCACACCAAGUGCAGUAGAGAGAGACCAGCAGAACAUAUUUCAAGAUGGGACACUUGCAGAGUCUAUUCUACAACCUCUGAAAAUGCAUCAGAAUUCAAGUGGAAUGUGUGGCAUCCAUCUUUGUAUAAGGAACCAACAAAACUGAUCCUGCAUUUCAUUCAGUUCAAAAAAGUUUCAAAUGAGAUCAUGACCAACUUUAAAAAAAACAGCUGAAGAUAAAACACAAUAGAUCACUUGGGGAAAUUUAUACUG
rnacentral:lncRNA from 1 species